rnacentral:miRNA from 1 species
UCAGUCUCUGUAUUCUCCCUUCA